GGAGAGAUGGCUCAGCGGUCAAGAGCACUGACUGCUCUUCCAGAGGUCCUGAGUUCAAUUCCCAGCAACCACA
rnacentral:tRNA from 1 species